rnacentral:rRNA from 1 species
UGGGGAAUCUUGGACAAUGGGGGAAACCCUGAUCCAGCCAUGCCGCGUGAUCGAUGAAGGCCUUAGGGUUGUAAAGAUCUUUCAGCUGGGAAGAUAAUGACGGUACCAGCAGAAGAAGCCCCGGCUAACUCCGUGCCAGCAGCCGCGGUAAUACGGAGGGGGCUAGCGUUGUUCGGAAUUACUGGGCGUAAAGCGCACGUAGGCGGAUCAGUCAGUCAGGGGUGAAAUCCCGGGGCUCAACCCCGGAACUGCCUUUGAUACUGCUGGUCUUGAGGUCGAGAGAGGUGAGUGGAAUUCCGAGUGUAGAGGUGAAAUUCGUAGAUAUUCGGAGGAACACCAGUGGCGAAGGCGGCUCACUGGCUCGAUACUGACGCUGAGGUGCGAAAGCGUGGGGAGCAAACA